rnacentral:rRNA from 1 species
AUACGUAGGGUGCGAGCGUUGUCCGGAAUUACUGGGCGUAAAGAGCUCGUAGGUGGUUUGUCGCGUCGUCUGUGAAAUUCCGGGGCUUAACUCCGGGCGUGCAGGCGAUACGGGCAUAACUUGAGUACUGUAGGGGAGACUGGAAUUCCUGGUGUAGCGGUGAAAUGCGCAGAUAUCAGGAGGAACACCGGUAGCGAAGGCGGGUCUCUGGGCAGUAACUGACGCUGAGGAGCGAAAGCAUGGGUAGCGAACAGGAUUAGAUACCCUGGUAGUCCAUGCCGUAAACGGUGGGCGCUAGGUGUAGGGGUCUUCCACGACUUCUGUGCCGUAGCUAACGCAUUAAGCGCCCCGCCUGGGGAGUACGGCCGCAAGGCUAAAACUCAAAUGAAUUGACGGGG